GUAAAGGUUAAGAUGUGGCUCUGGAGCACAGUGGCCUGGCUUUGAUGUCAGGCUGAUGAAGCAGGCAUGGGGAAAGGCAUUUCAAUCCAUGUCUAAUGACGUCUCAUCCAGUCACAGAGGAAAAGGGAGUGGAUUCAAGGUCUGACAGAACAGAAAGUGAUUGGUAAGUGCCAGCUAUAUUUCAUUUCAAGGUUCAUUAGGUUCCCUUUCUGGUCUGUUUUACCAUCAAUACAGACACCUAUUUGGGGACCAUGAUCAUAUUUUUUUCAUUGUUCUUUUCCAGGUAUAGGCUGUUUGGAAGUGGUCUUAUCCCACCAGCUUCUUCUCCAAAAAAACAUAUAUAAAAUGCAUACGUAUUCCUCCCUGACUUGACCAAGUAGCCAAGGAGCUUAGAAAGCAGAACAUAAGGCUACUUGCAGGAGGAAAUAGGAGAAUUUGGGAUCCCGUCUAGUCAGGAACCUCAGCAGGUGGUCAAAAUGAGUUUCAUAAUGGUGGGAACAGAGGUAGGGCUUUGGCUGGAAAAAGGGUGAAACACCUCUUAAGAGGUGAGUAUCCACAUGAGAAGAAAGCAGAAAAGCAAGAUGCAAAGGAGAGAACAAUAAGUCAUAGGAAAGAGCCCAGCAUAGUUCAACCCACGCAGCUCCUGCUCUCUCUGUGACUGGAAAUAGAUCCAGCUAAAUCCCUCAGCACUCAAAUAAGUAGGCUUUGCUCUCACAUGGCCACUGAUGGGAGAGCGAGAAAGCAAAACAUGCAUCUCUGCAUUUACUAUUCUAUUACAAUUACUAUUAUAUUUUGCUAACUUUUUAAAUGCAAUGUUACUGAUUUUAUCGGCUAGAUAGACAAGAUACUACAUUUUGCUCUCAAACUUUGCAACUGCUUUUUAUUGGUGCCUCCAAAUAAUUCUCAGUAUACAUUUUCAUGAAUUUUUAAAAUCAUUUAUAUCAUUUCAAACUUAGCUAGAGCCCCUUAACCAUUAUUUUAGCAUGCUCAACCAUUUUGGCCUUAUUCCACAUUUAAAACGAUGAUUCGUGUUUCCCAAUAGAUUUCUGCUCAAAUUACAUCUCAACUCCUAACCUUUGUUUUACAUUACCUAAGAGCACAUAGAGUUACCUUCAGAGAGGGCAGAUGCAUAUUGCAUUGGAAAGCUAUGCUGGGGUUGAUCUGAGAGUCUGCCUUAAGGCCGAUUUAUGCCACUUAAAGUAAUCCAGUGCGCGCUUUGGUAAUUGAAAUCCUUCCAUUACCCUUACUCCAGCCCAUUUAAAUAUUUCUCUUUCAGAUGCAAUUACGUCAGGAGGUGAGCCAAAUGGUUUGGGAAAGAUGUGGGCAUUUCCAACAAGAAGGUUACUGGCUGCCCACCAAGAGCUGGUUGGUGUUCACAGUUCUGAGUCCAACUCUUUUCUCUGCUAGGUUCCCAUUUACAGAGCAUGACCAACCUUUCUCUCCAUUCCAAAGAACAUUCAAGAAUUGGGUUGACCAAUACACUUAGUGGAAACCACUCAGAAAAGUUAUCUUGCAUUUUUUCACUGCUUGAUUUCUUUCUAAAAAAAAAAUAAUUCAGCCUUGUUUCUUGUCAGCCCUAAACCAAAUCUUUUCACAUCACUGAGCAGCAUCAUAUAUUUUGAAAUAUCUUUAACCUCACAGAUGCAAUUUUACCUUAAGCAGAACUCCCCCCAUAAUCAAAAGUUGGAAAAGCAAGGUUUUGGAUAUUAGCAAAACAUGCAAAUUUCUAUGUUAAAGCAUCGAUAAUGCCCUCUUAAUGUACUUAGAUGGACAUUUAUUCUGUAUUUAUGUAUGAGAAUGCUGCCGAACCACAGCAUGCAAACUAAAUAAUUCAAUGGAAUGCAUAGAUAAAACUAAUGAUUCUAUAUUCUAACCACUGUUUUAUGAAAAGCUUUUCAUUUAACUCUCAAAACUAACUCAUAAAUCCACACUUGGAUAAUGCAAUGAAGUUAUAUUUAAGUCUAGAACUCUCCUUGCAUGCCAGGUUUCAAAUCUGCUUCUAAGUAAAUGUCCUUUUGGGGACUCAUUAUGACUAUUCCUGUCUUCCCUCAAAACAAACCUAUUAUGGAUGCUCAUUUCCUUUCUUCUCUUGACUUCUGGCUGUCAGAUUUACACCUCUUCCAAUCCAUGCUGCCUUGGCCUAUAGUAGCAAUAUCACAGCCAAGGACAGGGAGCUCAAGCCUGACAGAAGUUGCCAGAGUACCUAACAAAUAUUUUCUUAUGGGAUCCACUCUAGAAACAGCCCCAAAUCACGUCGCAGGUGAGGUUUAUAAUGGGCCACUGAAAGUCACUGAUUGUGAUCUAUGGUCAUAAUAGACCAACUUGAUUGAAAUAGGGAAGAGGGUUCAUAUGGCCAAGUCACACAGAAAAACAUACCCCAGUGCCUGCCAGGGAUCUGAGAUGAGAGAGAUGAGGUGAGGUUGCUCUUCGGCAAAGUAUAAAGGUUAUGCAACAAUCAGCCUCCUCGCCAUACACGAAAAUAUCCUUGCAUCAGUCGCUAUGGCUUCUGUGCUUCAGGAAAAUCUGGCUAGAAAUUCUACCAAAAAUGAAUUAAUUUCUUAAUGCAAAUCUCCUCAGUAGGUAUCACCUUUUUGAAACACAAAUCAUCCCCAGAGAGUACCAAAACCUGUCAGUUGCCCUCAAAUUUAUCAGAAAGAUGUGCUAUGAGAAACUAAAUGGCUGUUCUGUGCAUAAAUAAAAGAAAAUGGGCAUUGCAUUUGUUUAUCUGAUGAUUUUCAAACUUGCUGACAUCUAUAUUAAAACUAUUCUUUGGUCUUUAGAAAAACAGACACUUAAAUGUUCGUGGGCUUCACAUUCCUGAUAACUAUGACAUUUAAAAAUAAGAAAGAGCAUUUUUUUUUGCUAAGUUUAUAAUAGGUAACAAAAUACGUCCCUACUGCAUAUAGCUGUCCCCCGUUAUCCAUGGUUGGGGAUCCCAUAGUCUGAAAAUAUAAUAUGGAAAAUUAGAGAAAUAAACAAUUUAGAAGUUUUAAAUUGUUUGUUGUUCUGAGCAGCAGGAUGAAUCUUGUGCUGGCCCAGCCUGGAAUGUGACUCAUCCCUUUGUCCAGCGUCAUCACACUGUGUAUGCUGCCUGCCUACUAGUCACUUGGUAGACAUCCACUUAUCUCACCAACUAUUUCAGUUCUGUGUUCAAGUAACCUUUAUUUUACUGAAUAAUGACACCAAGUGCAAAUGUAAUGAUACUGGUGAUUUUGGUUAGGACAAAGAAAAGACACAAAGUAUUUGUUUUAAGUAUUAUCUCAUGUCAUCACAAGAAUACAACACAAGAAGAUGUUUUGAGAAAGAUAAAC
rnacentral:lncRNA from 1 species